rnacentral:lncRNA from 1 species
GCUGUUUAAGCGAUGACGUUUGCUAGGUAAGCGCUUGUUCGGCAAGGUCAUCAAAUUGCUUGCCAACUGGAAGCGCCCAUUGUCUUCAGAUUGAAAAUAUAAAUCUUAAUAACAGGCUGAAAUAUUCGUGUUCUUGUUAACAUUUACAAUUAUUAUAUAUGUCAGUUAUCUAAUACGAUCAUUAAUAGGAGUAAAUAGUACAAUAUAAACUAAAAACUCAAUGGCAACAAUCUAUUUACCGCAAUUUUUAUUUACUGUACGUUUCUUUCGAUAUAGGGAUGAACCGUCUUGUUUUUCUUCUUUUUCGGCCACGACAAAAAUACCACUAUCGUGGUAGCUGGACGCCAUCUUGACUGAACGAAUUCUGCCUGGCUAGUACGCUUCGUGCGUAGAUGUGCGGACCGUACGCCUAUGGUAACUUCCAGUCGAACCUCGAACGCGUCUAUAACGAUAGGCCGUGUGUACAAAAGACUAGAUGGUUUAAAAUGUGAUGAUACGAUAUUUAAAAUAUCUCGAACAUUUUCAAAUUAUUUUUUUUCUUUCCAUAAAUAUGAAAGUUUUGAUUCUGUAUUUUAACAAUACGAAGGCGUAGUUGUUCACAUUUUCGAAGGCGUAAUAUUUCGAUAUGUUUGGCAAUUCAAAAUAAAUUAUAAUUCAGCCUUUUCACAUUUAAUUCCUGACUGGCCAAUGUCAAAAAUAUUUUAUUUCCAUAAUUUUUUUAUAAUAUCCGUAAAAAUCUAAUUCUGAAGUACUUUAAACUGUUCGAAGUGAAACGUCGCCAGAUUUGAUUUCAGAAUUACUCUGGAAAUGUUGAAUUUUAAAAUAUUUCGGAUUACGAAAAAGUCAAUGUGAUAAAGUAGAAAUUUACCAUUUUGCCGAUGUUAACAUACAGUAUAUGAUUAAAUGGAUGUAUAUUAGAACAGUUCCUCAGUAUGUGUUUCCACAGAGUCGCCAACAUAUUUAUAGGGAUCCACAAGUAUUCUAUGAAAAUAGAAGAAAUAUUUCAAUAAGAGUCAUAAAUAGAAAAAUAAUAGACCGUAUACAUCACUAUAUAGAAAAUAUUGAAUUAGGUUUUGUCUAUACUUCACUCUAUAGGUUUAUUGUAUUUUGUUUUUAUAUACUGAGAAAAAUGAUUCACUGGGAAUCCACCAGUUUCUUUUUUUAAAGGAAAAGAAACUCGGACUCCCAGUGAAGAGAGAUAGAGUUUGAGAAACAAUUCUAGAAUAAUCUGUCAAUAAUAUACAUUAUUUUAAAAAUUAUUAAUACUUAUUACAAAGAUAACAAGCUUAUAAAGAAAAUAUCUAUACGGUAUAUAAAAUGCAAUACAGUAGAGUCCCGAAAACUCGGUCUAAUGUGGACCGAAGGCUGGCCGAGUUUGUGAAAAUGCCGGGUUAUCGGGAAUGGGGAUAAAAAAAGAAUAACUACGAGUGUUUCCUCAGAAAAUACAGUACUGUACAUGUAUGUAUUGGUUGCUUGAGACUACAACAGAGAAUAAACUGCCCAAAUACAAUUAAACAAAGGAAAAGUACGUACUUUAUGGUUGGGUCUGACUA